CGGACGGGUGAGUAAUGCUUGGGAAUCUAGCUUAUGGAGGGGGAUAACUACGGGAAACUGUAGCUAAUACCGCGUAAUAUCGAAAGAUUAAAGUGUGGGACCUUCGGGCCCCAUGCCAUAGGAUGAGCCCAAGUGGGAUUAGGUAGUUGGUGAGGUAAAGGCUCACCAAGCCGACGAUCUCUAGCUGGUCUGAGAGGAUGACCAGCCACACUGGGACUGAGACACGGCCCAG
rnacentral:rRNA from 1 species